rnacentral:tRNA from 1 species
GGGCCGAUAGCUCAGCUGGUUAGAGCACGCGGCUGAUAACCGCGAGGUCGGAGGUUCGAGUCCCCCUCGGCCCACCA